rnacentral:rRNA from 1 species
UACAGAGGUCCCGAGCGUUGUUCGGAUUCAUUGGGCGUAAAGGGUGCGUAGGCGGCGGGGCAAGUCUGAUGUGAAAUCCCGGGGCUCAACCCCGGAACUGCAUUGGAUACUGCCUUGCUCGAGUACUGGAGAGGGAACUGGAAUUUACGGUGUAGCAGUGAAAUGCGUAGAUAUCGAGAGGAACACCUGCGGCGAAGGCGGGUAGCUGGGCCGACACUGACGCUGAUGCGCGAAAGCCAGGGGAGCGAAUGGG